rnacentral:rRNA from 1 species
UACGAAGGGUGCAAGCGUUGUUCGGAUUUAUUGGGCGUAAAGCGUGCGCAGGCGGGUUCGCAAGUCAGGUGUGAAAUCUCGAGGCUUAACCUCGAAAUUGCGCCUGAAACUGCGAGUCUAGAAUGUCGAAGAGGGAAGGGGAAUAUCUCAUGUAGGGGUAAAAUCCGUAGAGAUGAGAUGGAACACCAGAAGCGAAGGCGCCUUCCUAGGCGAUUAUUGACGCUGAGGCACGAAAGCGUGGGGAGCAAACAGG